CAAGCAGCUUCUGACUAACCAUAGUGGCCGGGGCUGGGGAUGGAGCAGACUCAAAGACCUACAAGCUGAAGAUAAGUAAUUACAAACGCUUUUAGAAAGACACCUGCCCUCAGUUUUGAAUGUUUCAAAAUGUUAUGUCCACAUAUGAAGAGAAAUAUCUCCCCAUAAUUCCUCACGUGAUGAGGACUAGCUUGCCUUCCAGCUAAUGGAAUGUAGCUCUGAUUUCUCUAUCGUUAACCACUCUGUCUCUGGAAUACCAAUGUUUUGAUGAGGGAGAAGAAAGGACCCUCUUCUGUUUGAUUGUUUUCUUUUAAAUUAAAAGUAGUAAUAAAUCUAACUCAACCAAAAUAACUGCUGAACAUUUCAUAUUAACACGGCAGUGAAGAUGAACUUGGGCAGUGCAUGAUAAAUGUUUCUCUGUGCUUAGAUUGGAAUGCCUCCAAACCCUGAAACUCCCACACCAAUUUGGAAGGCCUACCUGAGGUUUUUAUAUCCUUAGCCUGAAGAUUCAUUUUUCAUUUACAAGAUCGAGCUCCCAAGUUUCAAGGACAACCAUGCUACACUUCUAUAGAACAUACACAGAGAUAAUGUUGGAAUGAGAAACUUUAAAAAAAGGAAAAAAUCUGCCUCCCACAAGGCAGAGUUUCCAGGAGUAGCACAAGACCUCUGAGAAGGAGCAGUUGAAUUGGGACAAGUAAAAUGCAAGUGGAAGAAACUGGGGCAGCUGUGAAAUCAGGAGAGUACAAAAUGAGUUCAAAUGAGUUGUUUCAUUUGAAAUAUACGUCAUUCAAAGGAAAUCUCUUUGCUAUCAUUCAUACUAUGUGGUGAACCCAAUUAACUUAGAUGAGUCAAAAUAGCACCUUUGGUGUAUGAAGCACAAUUGGAGAAAUCAUUAGGUAACCAUAUACAAAGCUAUAUUUAAGAUAUUGGA
rnacentral:lncRNA from 12 species